rnacentral:rRNA from 1 species
GACGCACGCUGGCGGCAGGCCUAACACAUGCAAGUCGAGCGAGAGGCGGACGGGUGAGUAAUGUCUGGGAAACUGCCUGAUGAGGGGGGAUAACUACUGGAAACGGUAGCUAAUACCGCAUACCAUCAGAUGUGCCGAGAUGGGAUUAGCUAGUAGGUGGGGUAACGUCUCACCUAGGCGACGAUCCCUAGCUGGGCUGAGAGGAUGACCAGCCACAGUGGAACUGAGACACGGUCCAGACUCCGACGGGAGGCAGCAGUGGGGAAUAUUGCACAAUGGGCGCAAGCCUGAUGCAGCCAUGCCGCGUGUGUGAAGAAGGCCUGCGGGUUGUAAAGCACUUUCAGCGGGGAGGCGUUACCCGCAGAAGAAGCACCGGCUAACUCCGUGCCAGCAGCCGCGGUAAUAC